AAGCCACACCUUGUGACACUGAGCAGCCUCAGGAGGACAACGUCAGAAACCAAAAGCUCCUCUGCCCAGGGAUGGGGACCCGCCGACUUCAAGGGCAGAACAGGUGCCUGGCUAGUGGGGGAGUUCCCCAAUGUGGAUUUAAACUGUAGUGUCUUCAGAGAACAUAACCAACAUUUGUCUUUAGGAGAUGUGUUUGUUUGAGUAGAUCAGCUAUGAAAAUACCCAGCCGGCCUGCAGCCCUCCCGGCAGAUGCUGAAAAGGAAACCCGACUGGGAGAUGCCGCCCACCCUUAUCCCCAGAGAGCUGCGUUGUUUCCUCUUGCCUUGGCCUUUGGAUCCGGCCAUAGCAAGCAUCCCUGGGCACCUGGCUGAAGCUGGAAACUCGGGAUAAGAAUGGAAGCCCUGGAAGGGAAGAAGAACCGAGGAGUGAGCUUGCCCUGAGGACAGCACAUUGCACUCUCACCUCCUUUGCAGUUAAGUGUGAAAUAGUGCCAAUAGAGUGUAAAAGAAAAGAAAGAAGAUGAUUCACCUCCCAAAGAUUCCCCACUGCUGUGUCCCUUCUAUCAACUUGAUACAAAAAAACACAAUGGCCCCGGGAACCACGUGUUGAAGAUGAGAGAGCUAAAAGAUGGAAAGAGACUGGAGCCCUGAGUCACCACCUGGAGGAAAACUACCCACCCAUCAGGAAUUUCUACUACACAUUUGGGAGUUUUUGGGGUUACAGCAGCUAAUUUAACGAAAACACCCAGAGACAAGAGCUAUUACUGCACAAAUUGGUUAAGUUACCUUUUUGUAUGUUUGGGUCCUCUCUAUUCGAUGAGACUGCGCGUUCCUUUGAAGCAAAUCUGUUUAAAAUUCUUAUAUCCCCAGAGGGCCUAGCAGAGAGUAUGCACAGAGUGAGCCUUCAGUAAAUGCUGAGUAAAUAAGCUCCUAAUGGAUGAAACUGUGUCUUCGAAGUUUGUUCUGACCAGUACUUAGUAUAGGAUUUUGUGCUGUUGGUCACUUUUCAUAAAGGUUCUUGCUAUUAAGGAACUUGACAUCCAAUGUACUCAUAGAAAGUAGAAAUUCAGGGGAAACAAAUAGAAGAGAUAUGUCCAAAAAUCCAUUUAAAAUUUCAUUGACAGAUAUUUAUCUCUUUAAUCCUGGAAGUUGUUUCAUGUAAGGGAAGGUUCAGUAGAAUGAAAACAGGACUGUAAGCUGGGAGGAGAUUUGGGGUCUCUUGGCCAACUCUGCCACAAAUUGUGUUACCUUCAACUUCCCUGCCUGUAAAAUGAAGUCAGUGGUCCCUAAAAUGAAAUUGGACUAAUGGCAAAUUAGCUAGCAUUUGAUUAUACAUCGAUAGUUUCCCCAUGUGAUUUUAACGCACAAAUCAGAUUUUGGAACCAUUAGGUAGGUGAUCUUAUCUUAUGAGUUUAUCUUUUUCAACAUGGAAAAAUAAAUUUGUUUUGCUGACCGAAGGCUGUGUAACUUAGAACUGGAAAGAGACAUGUAAUUGAAUAACCCAUCUCUAUGGGGCAAAAAAAUGAAACACCUUUAGUUUGUUCAAAGAUGAAAUGGAAAAAUAAACAUGUUUUAAGA
rnacentral:lncRNA from 1 species